AAACAAGUCUUACACGUUGUUUUAAAGCUCGUCUGCUGUAUUUACUAUGAAAAGAGCCGUCGGUGCUGCAGCCAAGUCAACCAAUAAUGCUAAAGUAGAUGGCCAUCCAGAUGUUAAAGUCAAACCCUACUCAGAAGGUACUUAUGAAGACGAGGAAUGAUACGGUGCAAAACAGAACAAAGCAGCACCAGAAAGCCUGCAGCAUACACAGUAGCGGGCUUACAUAAGACCCCAUGCUUGGGUCAAGCUCUCUCAAUAAACCUGAUUGACUUCACAAACAAGGCUGGAAUGACCAGCGAAGCUCUGAGCCCACAUGAGAACUGUCCACACCUUUAAUGAAUGGGAGCCUAGCAGCGGGGGAGCACUCAGGAAUUGUCUCAGGGGAUCUCAGGGGAUCUCAGGU